AUUGAACGCUGGCGGCAGGCCUAACACAUGCAAGUCGAGCGGAUGAAGGGAGCUUGCUCCUGGAUUCAGCGGCGGACGGGUGAGUAAUGCCUAGGAAUCUGCCUGGUAGUGGGGGAUAACGUCCGGAAACGGGCGCUAAUACCGCAUACGUCCUGAGGGAGAAAGUGGGGGAUCUUCGGACCUCACGCUAUCAGAUGAGCCUAGGUCGGAUUAGCUAGUUGGUGGGGUAAAGGCCUACCAAGGCGACGAUCCGUAACUGGUCUGAGAGGAUGAUCAGUCACACUGGAACUGAGACACGGUCCAGACUCCUACGGGAGGCAGCAGUGGGGAAUAUUGGACAAUGGGCGAAAGCCUGAUCCAGCCAUGCCGCGUGUGUGAAGAAGGUCUUCGGAUUGUAAAGCUCUUUAAGUUGGGAGGAAGGGAAGUAAGUUAAUACCUUGCUGUUUUGACGGUACCAACAGAAUAAGCACCGGCUAACUUCGUG
rnacentral:rRNA from 1 species